CACUUGCUGCAGCGCUCCGCCGGUACUUGCUUGCUUCCAUGUAUUCUUUCCCGACCGAUAUAAACGAGUCGAACAGGGUCCGGAGAAGGAUGGGUUAGCUCUCCUACUCCCAACCAGAAGCCUUUAUUACUCCCAUAAGACCACCGAGAGCGAUCGGAAUAAAUAUGGCUCGUGCUGCCUCUGGUCUCUGUCUCUGAGCCACAUCUGCCCCCCUAUCUCUCUUCCUUCUUCUUUCCUCUUCGGCCGCAGUGGAUUUGGCUUCGAAACCUCCGGCGCGAUGAAGGUGACCGUUGUCUCUCGCAGCGGCAGAGAAAUCAUAAAGGGCGGGAUCGAGCUUAAGGAUUCGGCCACCGUGAGCGAUCUACAGGAUGCCAUUUAUGCUCGAAGUAAGUGAUUGAGAGGAUCUCUGGCUGUUCUCUCUCUUGGUGAAUUGCAUAACAUUAUGAAUCGAGAUUAAAGCAGUUCUUUUCUUUCUUGAUUUAUUUAUAACUAACUUUAUUUUGAUUUUCCAUGUGAAGCUUUAUUAUUUAUUUGUUUUUGUUAUUUAUGUUCUCCGACUUUUUAGUUCUCCAGAGAGCUGGAUUUUCCUUGUUAUGAUUUCAUGCUCUAAAUGAUUCUGAAGGCUCUUAAAGAACAGAAAUCAUCCUUAUUUUGAUAAGAUGUAGUGAAUGACAUGAAAUGGAUUCCUUUGAGAAAGUUGAUGAAAAUAUGUCUUGGCUUCAAUAGAAGCAAUCAUCACAAGUGUGUUAGAAUUGGUGUAGGAAAGGGACGUCGGAAGCAGUUUUCUCACAUCGGUCGUGUGGUGCUCUUAUUUAACUUUUAAACUGAUGCGUGAAGCACUCUCAAAAUGGUGCUUAAUUUUGACUUUUCCUUAUUGAUUGUUUGUGAUGUUGCAAGUCCACUCUAUUUAUGCACAUUUGGAUAAUAAGAUAUGUAUGCUUGUUGAUAUUAAUGAUUUGUGGUAGUUCAUCCGGGCAUAACUUUAUAUAUUUAAAAUUCAUUAUUAUUUCUUUGUUCGCUAUCUGUGCUACAUCAUUAUAAUUCACAUGUUUACUUUUUGUGAAGAUCCAUUACUUAUGAACUGGGGCUUGCUCCAAUGGUUGCAACCUUCUACCUAACAGUUAGAGGUUCUAGGUUUGAUUUUUUGGUGGUGCAACCC